UACAGAGGGGGCAAGCGUUGUUCGGAAUUACUGGGCGUAAAGGGCGCGUAGGCGGCCUGACAAGUGGAAGGUGAAAUCCCUCGGCUUAACCGAGGAACUGCCCUCCAAACUGUUUGGCUUGAGACCGGGAGAGGUGAGUGGAAUUCCCAGUGUAGCGGUGAAAUGCGUAGAUAUUGGGAGGAACACCAGUGGCGAAGGCGGCUCACUGGACCGGUACUGACGCUGAGGCGCGAAAGCGUGGGGAGCAAACGGG
rnacentral:rRNA from 1 species